AAAUAACUGUUAACAUGUUUUUCAACUAAACAUGCUUUAUCAACGUAAUAAACUUUAUAAAAACAUUUAUUUUUAUUUUUUUAUUAAUUAUCAAGUAUAAAGAACAAUGCAUAGUGUGAAAACGCGGAUCAUAAAAAAGUAUAUUAAGUGCGAGCAGAGGAUCAAGAAGAAACAACGCCAAAGGACUUCAUUUCCCAGGAUGCACCUGCACCCACUCAUCUGCCUUCAGGUGCGACCGCUUUACCUAUGGGCUUGACGGGAAGAUUCAAAAUCGCGAACCGUUACUGCAUGGAGUUGGUCUCUUUGUUUGCUCAUCGACAUUACGAGGUCAUGUGGUCAACUUUGUGGACGAUGAAGAGGUUUCUAGGUAAAGAUGAUAGAAAUAUAAUGAAGUAACAGUGAAAGCUAAAACAUCAGACUGAUCUAGACACUGAAGAAAUUGAUGUCACUGCAAUCUGGCCAAAAUGAUACAACUAUAUUGAACUAGCCUACUGUAAUGAAGCUGCAGAACAACACAGAGACUCUGAGGACAUCAACACAGAAAAUGAAGGCUCCAAAGAGAUGUCUGUCCAGAUGAGGGUGCAUCAACUUUACCUUUGCUGACAACAGUUAACUUAACUCAAACCAUUUAAGGAAAUCGGUUGCCUUAAACCAUUAAGUUUUAAAAAACAUACAUUUAACUACUGUGAACUUAAGUCUUGUGCAAUUAUGCACUUAUAUUUAGGUAGUGUGAACUUAAAUAUAAGUGCAUAACUGCAUGUGACUCAAUUUUUUUAAGUUCACAGUACUCAAAUCUAUGUGUUUUAAAACUUGAAUGGUUUUAAAUGUGAGAAAUUACAGUGUUACAGUGAGAAAUGUUUGAAUAAUUCCAAGACAGAGCUCUGCUAUUGAAUCUACACUGCAAAAAAUCACUUUCUAACUUAGGAUUUUUAUCUUGUUUUCAGUAGAAAAACUAAAAAUUCUUAAAUCAAGAUGUAUUUUUUUGAUGAGCAAAAUUACCUAAGAAAAUAUGUGUAGUUUUUAGACAAAAAUAUACAAUUUAAGUAAAUUUGUGCCUAAACAAGCAAAAAUAUCUUAACAAUGGAUUGAGAAAAUUGUGCUUAAAUUAAGUUUUUAUGAAAAAAGAAAACGUAAGAUUUUUUUCUCACACCAUUGGCAGAUAUUUUUGCUUGUUUUAAGCACAAAUUCACUUAAAGUGUGUGUGUGUUUAUUUAUUUUGUCUAA